rnacentral:lncRNA from 1 species
AAGAAAUGCAGGCUCAGCCUACAACCUCAUGGAACUAUGUUCUCCCCAUUCUUGCUGAACACAGGAGCAAGGAAACGGAUCUCCCCACCCCUCACCCCCAAGAACCUGAAGGAAAGAACACAGUGACCCCUGGAUUUUGCAGUGAGACCUGUACUGGACUUUCAGCCUACAGAACUGAUGUUGCCAACCCCUUCGGAUCUGGAAGCGGAACAGCUUCUGCUGACAUGCAGUGGCAUCUCUUUGCUGACAAGAGACAAGGAAUUAAAUAGAGAGAAAAGAAUACCUUUGUCAAACCAAGUAAUUUUUUGACUGUAGUGUAAAUGUAAAUUAGACCUGGCAGAAAGUCCAAGCUCUUUCACUGUUGGAGCGCCUCUGAUAUGAAGGGUUUGCUCAUCUGGAUGCAGGUGAGAGUAGAGCGAUUCUCUUCAGCAUGAAACAUGUCUGACUGAGUCACCUUUAGGCAGUUCAAGCUUUGG